rnacentral:rRNA from 1 species
AUGGGGCCUACCAUGCAGUCGAGCGGUAGAGAGAGCUUGCUUCUCUUGAGAGCGGCGGACGGGUGAGUAAUGCCUAGGAAUCUGCCUGGUAGUGGGGGAUAACGUUCGGAAACGAACGCUAAUACCGCAUACGUCCUACGGGAGAAAGCAGGGGACCUUCGGGCCUUGCGCUAUCAGAUGAGCCUAGGUCGGAUUAGCUAGUUGGUGAGGUAAUGGCUCACCAAGGCGACGAUCCGUAACUGGUCUGAGAGGAUGAUCAGUCACACUGGAACUGAGACACGGUCCAGACUCCUACGGGAGGCAGCAGUGGGGAAUAUUGGACAAUGGGCGAAAGCCUGAUCCAGCCAUGCCGCGUGUGUGAAGAAGGUCUUCGGAUUGUAAAGCACUUUAAGUUGGGAGGAAGGGCAUUAACCUAAUACGUUGGUGUCUUGACGUUACCGACAGAAUAAGCACCGGCUAACUCUGUGCCAGCAGCCGCGGUAAUACAGAGGGUGCAAGCGUUAAUCGGAAUUACUGGGCGUAAAGCGCGCGUAGGUGGUUUGUUAAGUUGGAUGUGAAAUCCCCGGGCUCAACCUGGGAACUGCAUUCAAAACUGACAAGCUAGAGUAUGGUAGAGGGUGGUGGAAUUUCCUGUGUAGCGGUGAAAUGCGUAGAUAUAGGAAGGAACACCAGUGGCGAAAGCGACACCUGGACUGAUACUGACACUGAGUGCGAAAGCUGGGAGCAACAGGAUUAGUACCGGUAGUCCCGCCGUAAACGAUUCAACUAGCCGUUGGGGAGCCUUGAUCAUAA